AGAGAUGAGCAAAUUUGUAAAUUUAUUUAUUAGAAAUGUUGUCUUUUAAAAAGCAAAUAAUCUAAUUCUUUCUUAUUGCCCGGAUUGAUGGCUUAGGUUUCAUGUUUGAGAAAAAGCUGAGCCCUUUUCAUAAAAGAAGCACAUUCUAAUUAAAAAGGAAGGAAAAUGGUGGAGCAUUUUCAAGCUACAGUGGAGAUGUUGCCUGCUCAGAGUUAAACCUCCAAAUUAUACUACUAAAUGGCAUUAGUAGUAUAAUUCUAAGACACAGUAUAUUGAAAUCACCAGUUGCCAAUAGUUCUGAGCUUCUCAACAUCAUAUUUAGUUCUUGCCUUCAAAAUAUCCCCUAAUCAACAGCACUGACAGUGUCCAUCAGUGCUGUUCUGAUAAAACAGUGAGUUCAAAUACCUAAAAACUCCCCACAUGCCAAUGAAACAGGUGAAUUUCUACAAUCUCUUCACAAAACAAACACAGCUUAUAUAAACAUCAAGACAGUGAAUUCAAUAUAUAUUGUCUCACAAAAAUUAUUCUUGUAAGAUUCUAACCUAAAAAAAGAAUAGUAUAUAUAUGAGCCCCAUUGUAUGUGAAGCUUUUAUUAUAUAAUUUUUCAAAUACUGAAAAACACCAUAAAGUUGNGAAUUUAAAGUUAUACAAAAAGGUCUAAGAACUUCAAAAUUAUUAAGUUUACAGGAUAAACAAAGGAUAGUCUUACUACUGUAAGCCAAAUCUACCCUAGUUUUUAUUUUUUAUAUUGCAUACCAGAUAAGGAUUGCUUUAUAUAUAAGUGACUAAAAAACAACUUUAAAAAGUAUUUCAUGGUAUACAAGGAUUUUGUGGAACUCUAAUUUAAGCAUUCAUAAACUUUUUUGUACUAGUUAUUUGUUUAUGUAUUGUGGUUAAUCACUUUUGUCUUGAAAAGUUGGUUUAGGCUAUAUGACCCACAAAACCCAAUACACUUAGAAUGGAAAAAUAUGGUCACUAAAAACUUUGGAGUGAAGUUCAACAGAUAAAGGACCUCAGUACACUUGGAGAUCUUGUUAGAGUUUCAGAUGGUCUGGUCUUUCAGAACUAUUGAAUAACUCAGUGGCUGUUGAAUUGUGGUCUUUGGACAAGUUUUGAUUCAGAAACUCAGAGUGGAAUGUGGGAGUUUGUGGUUUCAUAGGCUGUCUCAUUAGUCUUGAUACAUGUGAAGAUUGAGCCCAAUUGGCCUAGUCCCUGGGAUGUGAACAGGUCAUAUUAUCCAACAUAGAAGAGAGGUGCUCGUGGGCUUCUGCACAGGGAUGAGCUGCAAAACUCAGUAUUUUGCUAACUGGUUUGCAUUCUUUACAAUAUCUUGGAGACAAGGAAGGCAUGCUCUCCCCCAUUUUAAAGAGAAAGGAACUGGAAUUCAUUCAGGAAAUAUAGCAAUUUGCACGGAAUUAUUGAAUUGGCUUUAAAAAUCAACCCUUCAGGCUUCCCUGCCCUCACUUUCUUAUCUUCUUUGAUUUGGACAAGCAGUCCUGGAAUCAAGCAGGAGCUAGCCUGGCAUAGUUUGUGUUGGGUUUCUCAUGAGGAAUGUAGACACUACACAGGAUAUGAAUAUCAGAGUCUAGUGAUGUAUCUCCAUGGCUAUAUGAAGAUCACCCUGACUAAAUCACCAACCAAAGAGUAUAGGACCCAUGGCUGCAGCUACAUAUGUAGCAGAGGAUGACCUUUUCUGGCAUCAGUGGGAGGGGAGGGAGUUAAUUAGAGAAUCCGAGCAAUGUCUGGCUUGGAACAAAGACUUGCCAGGGGGGAAAGUGAGCAGCGGCUCCUCACUGAAGAACAGAGCCAAGCGGGUGGCCCCCCGGGGUGAGGACAGACCUGGGCUAAAGUCCAGCCUCUCAUGCUGAUGCUUGCAUUUGCUUGGAGGGGCUCAGUUCAGCCAAAGCGCAUCCAGGCUCCAGACCCUGCACUGCAGCCGGCAGGUGGGUGUUCUGAGUUCAGAGCUGAGGGAGAAACAUCUGUUGGAGAACAGGAGACUUUGCAGGGUCCACGAAGAAGGGACACUCCCAAGGAACUUGCCCCGGAGAGAUAGCACUCCACCCGCUGAUGAUGCCAGGCUGGGCAGGGCUGUGUGAGCUAGUUUGCUGCCUGGGAAGCUCAAGUG
ensembl:antisense Gm20700 predicted gene 20700